rnacentral:lncRNA from 1 species
CCACGAAUGGCGGCGCCGUCGUACGAAUAUUCCCCGAUAACAAGAAUAUUCCACGACCAAACGAAUAUUCCCCGACAAAAUGAAUAUUUUAUAACCACGUGCUUAUUUUAUAAAAUUUGCACAUUUCACCCAUAACCAAAGUAUUAUAUCAAAUUAACUACUUAUUAUUUCAAUAUAAUAAAUAUAGAAAAUUUAAUUUUAUUCAUAAUAAGUUGGGGUCUUACAUUUUACAUGUUUUUAUGUGUUCGUAUUGUAGGAGUAGAAGUGGAUGGAAAGCCAAAGGAAAAGGGAAAAAGCGUCAAAGUGAUUCUAGCACCCCCAUCGGGAUGGGUGUACACAAGCCAAAUCACCCCCAUCUGUUCGUAUUUACAGUUUGAAUUCUUUGUAUUCAGCUUUGUAUUUAGAAUGCUAGUAUCUUUGUGGAUUUCAAUUUCUUAUUUAUUCAUCAUGAACUAAUUUACUAUUUAAGUCU